CCUUUGUUUAGUCACACCGCAAUGGUCCUCACACCUGUGCAGCCAACCCAGUAUUAAGACAGUUCAUUUCGCCUAACCUAGAACUAAGAACUGAAACUCAUUGUACUUUUCUGUUUGUAUGUUUGGAAGGUAGCCUUCGGGAACCUGUGUUGAUAUCAAGGGAGUGAGGAACCCUGAGUACUUUCUCUGGAGCAAAGAGGAUUCAGAAUGAGAAGUGUGUAUGAAUACAGCGCUGGUGAAAUUGCUGGAUUGAAAAAACCCUGGAGAUCCAAGCCUCGGUACAACACAGGCGUCGGCCGUGCAAGCGUCUCCCACUGUUGGACUUCACUCCCCUAUGGGUUCAUCUUUGGCCUUUCUGCUCUGACUGUUGACAGUGGACCUAGUGGCUGCAGUGGCAUUGGCUUGCUGGGAAAACACAGAACUCUGAACGUUACAGCUGUGCACAGAGCAGAUCUUGAUCAUCUUGGACUAUAAUCUCCAUGGCGUGAAAAUCUGAAGAUAUUCCGGAGUAAAAGAUUGGUUUAUUUAAAGUGACUAUUGUAUCAAAAUGGUUGGAAAACUCAAACAAAACUUGUUAUUGGCAUGUCUGGUGAUCAGCUCAGUGACAGUGUUUUAUUUGGGGCAACAUGCUAUGGAAUGUCACCACAGAAUAGAAGAACGCAGCCAGCCAGUGAGGAUGGAAAGUGGGAGAACCACAAUAAGAACUGUCUUUAACUUAAAAGCAAAUAAAACCUUUGCUUACAAUAAAGACAUGCCUUUAAUAUUUAUUGGAGGGGUGCCUCGAAGUGGCACUACACUAAUGCGUGCCAUGCUAGAUGCUCACCCCGAUAUCCGUUGUGGAGAAGAGACUAGGGUUAUCCCUCGAAUUCUGGCAGUUAAGCAGAUGUGGGCCAGAUCAAGUAAAGAGAAAAUCAGACUGGAUGAAGCUGGGGUGACAGAUGAAGUUCUGGACUCAGCCAUGCAAGCCUUUUUAUUGGAAAUCAUUGUUAAACACGGGGAACCUGCUCCCUAUUUGUGUAAUAAAGAUCCUUUUGCUCUGAAGUCCUUAACUUAUCUUGCCAGAAUUUUCCCCAAUGCCAAAUUUCUUUUAAUGGUACGGGAUGGUCGUGCAUCGGUGCAUUCCAUGAUAUCUAGAAAAGUCACCAUAGCUGGGUUUGACCUUAACAGCUACAGGGACUGUUUGACCAAGUGGAAUCGUGCUAUAGAGACUAUGUAUAACCAGUGUAUGGAGGUUGGUUUUGAAAGAUGCAUGCUGGUACACUAUGAACAACUUGUAUUGCAUCCUGAAAGGUGGAUGAGAAAUCUAUUAAAGUUUCUCCACAUUCCAUGGAACCAAGCAGUGCUACACCAUGAGGAAAUGAUUGGGAAAGCAGGUGGUGUCUCUCUUUCAAAAGUUGAAAGAUCUACAGAUCAAGUAAUCAAACCAGUCAAUGUGGAAGCUUUGUCCAAAUGGGUUGGGAAAAUACCUUCAGAUGUUCUACAAGACAUGCCAGUCAUUGCACCAAUGUUAGCGAAACUUGGCUACGAUCCAUAUGCCAAUCCACCAAAUUAUGGAAAGCCAGAUCAAAAAGUUCUUGAAAACACACGACGGGUCUAUAAAGGUGAAUUUCAGCUUCCUGAUUUUCUUAAAGAAAUGCCACAGCCAAAGAAGACAGUAGAAAGGAAGUCCCGUGGCAAGAUAAAAUGAACAUGGACCAGUAAAACCGAACCAGUGGAGUAGAAUAUCUGAUGGAUUUACCUUGCACAUAAGGACUGUCCUACCAAGAUCAGUGAGGUGUACCGCUCAUGGUCUGCUUUUUUCGAAUCUUCUCCCAUUUGCCUUCAGACUGUGUUUUUUGUUUUGUUUGGGGCUUUUUGUUUGGUGGUUUGUUUUUGGUUUUUUGUGAGCACACUUAAACCUGUAACAAUAAAAGCACUUCUGAUAUGGUGAACACUUUCACUGAUGAUGAUGAUGUACUGUGUUACAUUUAUACAACUGUUUCUACAGUUUGAAAAUGAAAUUAAAGCAAAAUCUGGCCUAUGUUGAAAUUGCUAUUCUGUCUAUAUCUCUGUUUAAUUCCAGAGCUUAAUUUUAAAGGGUUUGUAAAAAUGGUUUGUGAAACAUUUGGAAUUUAAAUGUAUGAAAUUUUGUAAAAGUGGCCUGUGCUUGUCCUAAUUUGUGGGUUUUUUUGGUAGAACAGUUGUGCCUGUUUCAAUUUUAUUGACGUGGAAAUUGUCAAAUAUCUUUCUUUUAAUUAUUUAAAAAAUCACUUCUGAGAUGUUGAUAAAUUACUUGUACAUUUACAAUGCAGUGAUCUUUUGUAUUUUAUUUUUCAAAAUAAAUGCUUUAAAUGUGAUUUUUUUUGUUUUGAGUUAUUAAUGCAGCUUUUAACUUGAAGAUCACCUUGCUUCUGCAUGACGUUACUGUACCAUUUGGGUGAAUAGCUGUAAUAAUGAGAGAUACAAACUGAGGCCCUGAAAUGAGACAUUUAUGUAUGUGUUUAACUUUAAUGUGUGACCAGUAGGAGUACUCGUGUUCUUAAAGUUAAGCACAUGGAGAUUUGCAAGAUUGGGGCCUAAUAUAUUGGAAUUUUGUUUCCGCAUAUGUAAAUCCUGUUUUUCUGUGUGUAUUUCCUGCAUGAUCUAGCUUGUUUGUUGAUUUAGCGCAGGGAUGCUAAGCUAAUAAGACACUAGUAGAUAAUUUAUAAAGUAGGUUAAAUAAGUAUUUUCUUUACCAAGAUUCCUCUAAUAAACAGUAUAAAACCUGUCUUCUAUAAAACCAUUAUUCUCCACUGAUGAUAAUUCAAGAACCUCUGAAAUGUCAUUUAUACUUUCCCCCCCACCCCCCCCCCCCCACCCGGAGGAAGUCGUCUUGGUGGUUGUGUGACAGCUGAGUGGGAGGAUCUUUGUACUACAGUUACAGCUGCUUAUUAAAAAUUAUAAAUGUCUCACCAGAAUAUUUAAAGGACUCUGUCAAGGCAUUAGUCAUCAUUUUAAAAAUAUAUUUUUCUUUUAUUUAAAGUAACCCACUAUUUCUUUGCUAGAAAAUGUUUUCCCUGCAUUUCACAUGCAUUUACACCCUGGGUUGUCAAUAGAAGGCUGGGGAACACUUAGGUUGGUUUUCCUGUCCCUUUAACAUUAGCAGUUCGUCUUGGGGAAGGGGGGGAUCCAAAAACACGUCGGCUCUUGAACAUUUUGAACUUUUUGUUCAUAAAGUAUUGAAAUGUAAAUUAUACUGCUAAAAAUAAAGAGAGAUGAUUUGUCAUCAAA